rnacentral:rRNA from 1 species
GGUAUGAGAUGGACCCGCGUCUGAUUAGCUAGUUGGUAAGGUAAGGGCUUACCAAGGCGACGAUCAGUAGCCGACCUGAGAGGGUGAUCGGCCACAUUGGGACUGAGACACGGCCCAAACUCCUACGGGAGGCAGCAGUGGGGAAUAUUGCACAAUGGGGGAAACCCUGAUGCAGCGACGCCGCGUGAGUGAUGAAGUAUUUCGGUAUGUAAAGCUCUAUCAGCAGGGAAGAAAAUGACGGUACCUGACUAAGAAGCACCGGCUAAAUACGUGCCAGCAGCCGCGGUAAUACGUAUGGUGCAAGCGUUAUCCGGAUUUACUGGGUGUAAAGGGAGCGUAGACGGAGAGGCAAGUCUGAUGUGAAAACCCGGGGCUCAACCCCGGGACUGCAUUGGAAACUGUUUUUCUAGAGUGUCGGAGAGGCAAGUGGAAUUCCUAGUGUAGCGGUGAAAUGCGUAGAUAUUAGGAGGAACACCAGUGGCGAAGGCGGCUUGCUGGACGACGACUGACGUUGAGGCUCGAAAGCGUGGGGAGCAAACAGGAUUAGAUACCCUGGUAGUCCACGCCGUAAACGAGGAUUAAUUAGGUUUCGGGGGGCAAAACCAUUCGGUGCCGCAGCAAACGCAAUAAUAGUCCCACUGGGGAGUACGUUCGCAAGAAAGAAACUCAAAAGGAAUUGACGGGGACCCGCACAAGCGGUGGAGCAUGUGGUUUAAUUCGAAGCAACGCGAAGAACCUUACCUGCUCUUGACAUCCCCCUGACCGUCCCUUAAUCGGGGCUUUCCUUCGGGACAGGGGAGACAGGUGGUGCAUGGUUGUCGUCAGCUCGUGUCGUGAGAUGUAGGGUUAAGUCCCGCAACGAGCGCAACCCCUAUCUUUAGUAGCCAGCGGCCAGGCCGGGCACUCUAGAGAGACUGCCAGGGAUAACCUGGAGGAAGGUGGGGAUGACGUCAAAUCAUCAUGCCCCUUAUGAGCAGGGCUACACACGUGCUACAAUGGCGUAAACAAAGGGAGGCAGAGCCGCGGGGCCGAGCAAAUCUCAAAAAUAACGUCUCAGUUCGGAUUGUAGUCUGCAACUCGACUACAUGAAGCUGGAAUCGCUAGUAAUCGCGAAUCAGAAUGUCGCGGUGAAUACGUUCCCGGGUCUUGCACUCACGGCCCGUC